GUCCAUUCGGCAGCACAUAUACUAAAAUUGGAACGAUACAGAGAAGAUUAGCAUGGCCCCCAAAUAUCAAGGAAGAGAAAAUAACAGAACAGAAAAUUUGAUUU